AUUAUUUUAAGCUAUAUAUUAGGAGUAAAUAAAAUUUAUGAAAUUAAAAAAUUUUGGCGGUAUUUUAAGCUUAUUAGAGGAAUUUGCUCUGUGAUGGACACAACGCCUUAAUCUUACUUAAUUUAGUAAUUUAAAUCAGUUUGUAUACCACUAUAUUAAUUAUAUUGAAUAGUUAUAUUUAAAAUUUUUUUUAAAAAAUAUAUUAAGUCAAGGUGCAUCUAAUAAUUAUGAAUGAAGUGAAUUACAUUAAUUUUAAUGUAAUUUUUUACAUGAAAAAAUUAAUUAGGAUUUAAUAGUAAAAUACUAAUAUUAUGAGUAUUGAAUC
rnacentral:rRNA from 1 species